rnacentral:sRNA from 1 species
AGAAGGAGAAGUUCAACUAAGACCGUCACAUCCUGUGACAACGUUGAACUUCCCUACGUCGUGUAGG